AUGCCAUACUGUAAGGGUGAGAAGGAAAUGUUACAGUGUUAACCCACACCACACAACCCGCACAAGUGUGACUUCUACGAUGUAAUUGUAUUAGCGGAAGGUUAAUGGUUUUAUUUAGCUGAAAUGUAAGUCAUUCCACGCAUGCAAAUGACUCCCUGUGGUUGGAAGAUUGACUAUAUAGUAAAUAUUAACAUUUGUGGGAUGAAGAAUAAUUGUGAGGGUUAUGAGUCAAGGUCUGUGUAAAGGUUAUGGGAUAACAGGCUAUCGGCUGCUAACAGGCUUGAAAUUAAAGACGCUGCUGUAAUCUGUCUUUAGGAAAACACCUUCCAAUCCUUCCUACAUCUUAUGGAAGGAGUUCUGCAAGUCAAUGGCUGGCUAAAAAGUCAAGCAGUUCCCACUGGACAGGUGGCAAAAACAUCAUAACCAUUUUUUUUUUAAUGUGUUGACCAAAGUUUUUCAUAGGCGAAAUGGGUAAUAAGCUACAAACACUGAAUAUCCUACACAUAACAUAUCAAAGCUUUUGUUAAAUAAGAAGUUAAGAAUGAAAAAUCUAAUGCUACAAACACCUCCGAGGUGUUACUUUAGAACUCUGCUUUCUUGUAAAAAAAACCUGCCUUCAUGCUUCAACCUCUCCUAGCUUUUCUAACUCAACCCUGCAGAAAACAUCUGCUGAAGUUCCCACAGCUCUCUGCAGUGAUUUUUUUCAUAGGGUUAAACCAAACUCCCAUACAAAGCUCCAGGCCUCCUGCCUACAUACUCCAAGCCAGCUCUAAAGCCACGAGCAAUUUUCCUUUCCAAAGUUUUUACUCUUUUAAGCUCAACUUUUAAUUCCUGCUCCAUCACUGUUAUGAAUAGACAAGAGCAUUAAGACAAAAUCCCCCAGUUCCUGUGUGUGUAUGUCUACCUCUGUCUAUUCAAAACCUGUAAUCCCUAAAAGCAACUUCUGGAAACCUGUACUUUCCCUCCCGGUCUUAUAAGCCCACCUAAUUUAGAUGAAGCCUCGCCAGCAUCUCCUCCCUUCAGGGGCUAGUUACUUCCUUGCAAAGAUGGACUCAAAGACAGAAUAGGAAACAAAAAUAAUCUUUUUUUCCAAAAAGAAUUGAGAAUCUCAUUUGGAAGAGCACACAGGAAUGCCCUGACAAGACUGGAGUGGACAGUUCUUGACAUGCUUUCAAAGAAGGACUUGCUCCGAAGUUCAGUGCAUUUGAUUCAGUCAACUGUUGUAUCUCAUCUGCAUAACACGAUUUAUGUUUCUCAGGCAUCAAAUUCACAUGCAUUUCAUCUUUAUUGUAUUUUAUAUAUUCUGGGUCACACUACACUAUGCCUACAGACACAAAAGCCAUAUAAAUAAUGAAUAAAAGGCCCAAGAGUUCCCCUCUAGCCAUUCUGUCCAGCAGAGUAGAGAACUGUUUCACCUAUGUUACUGCAGGUUGAAAACACAAGUGCCCAGUUGGGUCUGCCUUGCCCAACAACCAUUCCUUAUCUCCCCCAAAUACAGCUGCUUCAUCCCCUUGAGCAUCAUUUUUCCUUUUUCUUUACUGUAAUCUCUCUUAAUUCCCCAAUGCCAUUCUUAAAAUACAGCGAUUAGAAUUGCAUCCACAACACAAGUGAUAGAUGUGCAAAGGUUUUAUGGGUUUUCUCAUUUGCAUGGUGCUCUUCGAAUGCUUCACCUCACAGUCUAAUUGCCUCACAUUUACAGGACAGGGAGCAGCUCGCAAUAUUUCACUCAAGCAUGCAAAUCAAAUGCAUCACCAGAUAAAUGUUUUCAGAUUAUUAGUUUCCUUAUUCAGUCCUGAAAACCAUUACGUACAGAUUAAGAGGUGUUACACAGUUUUCUUCCACUGCCUGAAAACAGCCUGCACUGGGCAAGCCUCUGGCACCUGCUAUGGAAUGAGCCUCACGUGAGAGCAGGUCUGCCCGGGCUGCAGGUGGUCAGGGAGAACUCAUCCCACCAAACCCAGCAAGAAGACAGCUUUCUGAAAUCCCAGAAGAGCCCCUUCUAGAGAAGCUCAAGACAACAGGAAUAUCAGGCCACUGAAAUAAGUGCCUACAGCCCAGUUCAGGUGUAUAAUUAACCAUACUAGGCAAAGUAUUUCUACGAGAUCCAGAACAGGUUAAGCAAAUUUUGGCAGUCCUUUAAUUGCUUGCAAAACUCCAAGAAUGCUGCGUGCUUCCUGUCUCAUACAGUUUGGGGCAGGAUCCUUCUCUUGCUGUUUGUCACUUAAUGGGAUGCCGACUGCAGAUGAUGCCGUUAUACAAAUAAUGAGGUACAUAUAAAAUCAACAACUCCAGUGACAUGAAGCUCACGUGACAGGUGUUAAAGAAUGGAUUAUGUUCAUUAAUAGCUAAAGAAACAGCGAAAUUCAUCUCCCGAAAUCUUCCAGCUGAGCCUUACUAAAGCCCGUGCUCUCACCCCACAAUACAUGGGCUGCACAGAGGGACUGCAGGGAAUCACAUCGGUACCUCUGGGCUUCAAACACUUCUGGAUCAUGGGCGAGCUAUUUGACCUAAGCGGUUGCCGUGAAAUAAAGUCCCCUUGUAAUUUAACAUAAAACACGUCCCCAUCUACAAUCUGAGGAGAUAGAUAGUGAGGAGAUACGGUAUCAGAUCACAGUAAUGUUUCUUCUGGUACAAGACUAGGGGAGAAUUAGUCCAAAGAAAACUCCUUAGCAGACUGAAGGAGUUGAAAAAAAAGUACAUUUACUUGUUAAUGCCUAAUAGUCUCAGAUGUCUACUGUACAAAGGGAAGUAUUUGAACAGCUUAAAAGUUUUACGGCUAGAAUAACAUUCAAUAAAGAAUACAUUUUUGCAGGACUGGUUAAGAAACCACAUGCAGGCGGGAAUUCCCGGAAACCCCAGGGGCAGCUGCGCUCCCAGGAGGGCAGGGUGGGAAGCAGGGAGAGGCCCAGCCCCACUGCCCCAGCACCAGGGGGAAGGGAAAGGACUUCUCCCCACAUACUGUAUCCUCCCUCCCUCAGCCUUGGUCUCAGAGAGCUGACAUAUCAGACAGUUGUGAGCUGUCAGUCACCAUGCUCGUAACUCUCCCUUCACACUUCUACCAAGUUCUAAGCCCUACUGCUGCAGACUCCAGCCUACAUGGCAAGGAUGGAGACCUUGCUUCCUUAGCCAUGGCCAUGAUGGAUAGAUGGCAGCAUCCAGGACAGAAGCAAACACUUCUGAUGCUCCCAAAAGGACACCAGCUCUGGUUCAAAGGAACAAGAUCAGGGAUCUGUGGCCACAAACCCAACACAACCCAAACUGCCUCCAGGCUCAGGCCAGCUUUAUGUUAGGAAAAUCCCAAAAAUGAAAGCUGGGUGCUGUCUUCGCCAUCUACCCAGAAAUCUGACCUGCUGCCUGUUUCACUGCAACACCCUGUUCAAAGGAGAAGCCAUGAACUUUCUGAGCAAUGCUGCACCCUGGACAGAAGUGCUAGGCCAAGCUUCAAACGCGCUGACGUGAUGACUUACAGAUUUGUAUCAGGACCACAGCAGGGGAGUCACUGCUUCUCACUGCUUAAAGAGCUGAAACCAGGUGAGAUACAGUGUUUUCUAAUAAGUUUGACCUAGAAUUUUAAAAUGCCUUUGAUUCCAAAAUUCAAAGUGAACCAAACCCAAGAAUGCAUCUCUGCAAAGCGCUGUGAGGUGAAAGCACAGCUUUGCAAAAGCUUUUCUUGAUGUCUUCCUUCCAGCAGGCUUCUAAAACAGUUACCAACUUCUGACUGACCAAAUGCAAAAUGCCUUCUCUGUACUGUUCUCAAACGGCUUUAAAAACAACUGGUUAUAGAUUACGAGUGCGUUAAGAAAAUGCCUUCAUCUUGUGCAAGCAUCUUACAGGGUUAACAGGAGUUACUCUGUUUUGCCAUAAUCACAACUGAUGUCAGUGUGAUCUGAAGGAGUGCUAAGGUGGAGAAGAAAGGGAAAUGCAAAAUAAAACCCUCACAGUAAGUACAGCUGCACAGUAUAUACUAGUGUUUGCCUGACAGAUGUCUUCCUAUGCUUGAGAACAUCAAUGCUAAGGAACACCAGCACAAGGCACACUCCUCAAAUGAAGUGCCACAUAAGCACAUCAUAACAAUAGGCUACUGAUACACAUAUAUAUAAUCACACAGGUAUCAGUUUGGCUCAGCUUGGACAGGUCCAGCACUGAACUGCAGCAGCUUAGGGAUGAGCCAUACUUUCAGCAGUCCUCAAGUCUUGACUGACGACCCAACAGUAAGGCUGGGAUGGGGCUGCUAUCCCUCUAUCAAUCACAAUGGAAAAAAACAACAAUUUCUCUACCAGUGGCUGCAUCCACCUGCAUUUACCUGAUACAUUUGUGCUCAAGUCCGAAGGGGCAGGUGUAUUACAGCAACACCUGAUAACUGCACCAAAUGAAUGUUCACGCAUGGAAGAGAGGGCAGAUCAGUGUCCUCCGCUUGCAAAUGAAAACACUCAAGUGAGAUUGCCGAACAAGGAGCCAGGCAGCCAAGCAGCUACUGCAGGUUCUGAGCUGCUGCCCACUGACACUUCCCACGAAUACCCCAGCCCAGAUAACUUAAAAGCUAACUUCAGAUUCCUGCUUUUUCACACCUUGGUUUAAACCCAUAUACCUGUUCUUCUCUCUCCCAGUGCUGAUAGCACUCAGCAGCCAUCCUGAGGACAUGGCUCGUCAUGGAUGGGAACCAGACCUGAAUGAAGGGAUGUGCUGCUCUCUACAAGACGAGACUGCGCAUGACAGCAAGCCCCAACCACUCCAUGUGGGGUCAAGAAAAAAUGCUCAUCAUCUUUCCAUCAAGUGUGGCUCGCUCACAGUACCAAGAAGUCCAGAAGUUGCCCGAGCACAGCCUAGCAGGUGCCAGUCCAAGUGGUGGCACAGCAGCUCCUGCACAGCCCCGGUUACUGCAAGCCUCCCCCGGCUCGUGGCAGUGCCAGCACACACAAAUGGAAAGCAUAUGCUGAAGUUUUAAGAAAUCACUUUCCUGGAAAAAGAAAACAUAUACAGAGAA